GAGAAUGAACUCAUUAAUAACUUAAAUAUACAUGACAAUGAAGAAAUCAUCAAACUUCAUUGGCAGUUUUGAAAAAUAUACCCGAAAUAUAAACUCUGUCUGAAGCAGAAAAUCACCAUCAUUGAGGCCUUUACAGAGCGAAUUGUCCCCCAGAGCUCUGGCAGAGAGACAGAGCUCAGACUAGCUAGCACAAGCGCCAAUGCGUACGUGGGUGAGUCUCCCGUCGGCCUUGUAACAGAUUAAGCUUUGAUGAUUUUUUGUCUGAUAUUUAACUCAUCCCCUGGAAAAAUAAAACAAAUGAUUUUUAAGUUAUAAUUAGCAAAUAAGAUAAGUUAUUUUGGAUGAGUACUAGGCCGUAUGAUAACUCACCAACGCGAGGUUACUAGACUUUGGGAUUUAUUGAGGUAUGGUUGAGCAUGCAGCGUCAUUCCAUUCACAAAAA